GACAGCAGUCGCCACGGUAAUACAGAGGGUGCGAGCGUUAAUCGGAUUUACUGGGCGUAAAGCGUGCGUAGGCGGCUUCUUAAGUCGGAUGUGAAAUCCCUGAGCUUAACUUAGGAAUUGCAUUCGAUACUGGGAAGCUAGAGUAUGGGAGAGGAUGGUAGAAUUCCAGGUGUAGCGGUGAAAUGCGUAGAGAUCUGGAGGAAUACCGAUGGCGAAGGCAGCCAUCUGGCCUAAUACUGACGCUGAGGUACGAAAGCAUGGGGAGCAAACAGGAUUAGAUACCCCGGUAGUCCCUGUCUCUUAUAA
rnacentral:rRNA from 1 species